UUGAACUGAAGAGUUUGAUCCUGGCUCAGAUUGAACGCUGGCGGCAUGCCUUACACAUGCAAGUCGAACGGCAGCACGGGCUUCGGCCUGGUGGCGAGUGGCGAACGGGUGAGUAAUACAUCGGAACAUGUCCUGUAGUGGGGGAUAGCCCGGCGAAAGCCGGAUUAAUACCGCAUACGAUCCACGGAUGAAAGCGGGGGACCUUCGGGCCUCGCGCUAUAGGGUUGGCCGAUGGCUGAUUAGCUAGUUGGUGGGGUAAAGGCCUACCAAGGCGACGAUCAGUAG
rnacentral:rRNA from 1 species